CCUACGGGAGGCUGCAGUGGGGAAUAUUGCACAAUGGGCGCAAGCCUGAUGCAGCCAUGCCGCGUGUGUCAAGAAGGCCUUCGGGUUGUAAAGCACUUUCAGCGGGGAGGAAGGCGGUGAGGUUAAUAACCUCAUCGAUUGACGUUACCCGCAGAAGAAGCACCGACUAACUCCGUGCCAGCAGCCGCGGUAAUACGGAGGGUGCAAGCGUUAAUCGGAAUUACUGGGCGUAAAGCGCACGCAGGCGGUCUGUCAAGUCGGAUGUGAAAUCCCCGGGCUCAACCUGGGAACUGCAUUCGAAACUGGCAGGCUAGAGUCUUGUAGAGGGGGGUAGAAUUCCAGGUGUAGCGGUGAAAUGCGUAGAGAGCUGGAGGAAUACCGGUGGCGAAGGCGGCCCCCUGGACAAAGACUGACGCUCAGGUGCGAAAGCGUGGGGAGCAAACAGGAUUAGAUACCCCAGUAGUC
rnacentral:rRNA from 1 species